AAUGCACCUCUCCCCGAUAAAAAAAAAAAGAGCCCUUCCUCAUUUUCUUCUCCCUGUUGAAACUCCACAGGUGAACCCUGCUACUCCUCUGCUAGAUUCGUCUGCUACCUCCAACAAGAUUCACCCUUCCUCAACCUCGUGAUCACUGAGGUAAAUCCUGUGAACCCUAUGGGAGAUUCGCCUUCUUACAGAGAUUCAUCCUUGCCGCUGAUCAGUGACCUAAAUGCUUGAAAGAGUGGGUUUUUACCUCACCCUUGAAGAUUAUACAAAAGUCGCAAAAUCAAACGACUUCUACCCCAGAUCUUCCUUCGUAAUCGAUCACUAAAACUCAGGCAGUCUAGUUGAAGGUUCGGGUCCUUCACCCACAAGCGAUUAGCUCCUCUGCAAGCGUCCAAGAAAAUUAAUGCUAUUACUUACUUCCAUCGACCUUCAUUCUUCAAUUCGAUAGCAGCAACAGUGUGUGGAUAGGCUGCAAAGGGAGAAAUCAAGAGGAUUUUUCGAUUUUGGGCUUACUCAGGGUAAGGGAAGAAGUAUGGUAGUGAUCCCAUAAUCGAUUGUUC